UAACAAUGAUUAGGACAUAAAUUCAGAAACCUAUAUUAUCUCUCCCAGGAUUCAUAGAGGCUUUUACCAUUUUCAUGAACGAACAGGGUGAGGUUUCUUCGUAA
rfam:Hordeum vulgare subsp. vulgare, WGS project CAJW01000000 data, contig: morex_contig_1570396